GGGUGAUUAGCUCAGGCGGUAGAGCAGCUGACUCUUAAUCAGCGGGUCACAGGUUCGAGUCCUGUAUCACCCACCA
rnacentral:tRNA from 1 species